AUUACCCCUCAAAAUGUCUAAAAUAGAUUGUAGCAAAUUAGAUGGCCUAUAAACCACGCGUUUAUAAACAGUGGUACCUUUUAGAAAAAAACGAAAAAGUUGUAAUUGAAUCACGUAAUAGGAGGAAUAGCCUGGAAAUUUGUAUAGCAUAGUUAAAAAAAAAAAAACAAUCAUUGCUUAAGCAAUUCACGAACUAGAUUUCAUUAAAGCAAAUCAGUCAGACAGCCUUAAUUAUUUGUUGUAAACGUGUCGUGUAAGAAAUAUGGUUACGUGGUCGGGUUAACAUAAAAUAUAUCCGAUGAAUUUUAUAUAAAUGACAUCUGUGUUGAUCAUCGCUAUUCCACUGACAACUGCACUCUCAGACUAAUCAAUAACGGGAUCUUGUGCUAUCUAGACUCGCAGGAGUGAAUGGAGCUUUAUCAGAAGAUAUACAGUCAAAAACGAAGAUAAGGGUGGAUUGUGACUGUUAUGGGUCGACUUGGAAGAAAGGAGCCGGACGCCGCACUGUCUACUCGUCACUAUCUUCACAUUAACCAGGAACGGGUCUGCGCUGGCACCAGCGUCACAGUUAAACUGGGGGAUCAGAUGAGUAACUGUCGACUGUUCAUUUAAUGGUGUAAUUGAAUCCAGGUCUCUCUUGCAGAAGAGGUUAUUCAUUUCGAGAGGUCGAGGCUAAAUAAAUAAAGAGGAUGGAGAAAUGAGGAGCACAAGAGAGGAAAAGUAGACACUCUCACAUUACCAGUUGCAAUGUACGGGGCUCUACAGACUGGUAGUGUUUCACCGUGUCAAAAUGUAUUAUGUGCUGUUCAGUUAAGCAGCAAUUCAGAGCCUACAGGAUCAAUGUUAUUGUUCAUCAGAAUUGUGUCAGGUGAUGCAGUAGUGUCUAGCGUGUCCCACUUCUUCCCACACAUUCCUGUGCUGCUCUUUUCCUUGUUGUUUACCCAUUGUCCUCUCCACUUGGAUCGUUGUGAUGUUUUGUGAAAUUGACAAGGAGGAGACAAAGGUAAGACACAAGGAAAUAGUAUUAGGACACAGACACUGCGUUGUUAAUCAUCUCCAUUAUUGUCCAGUGAUGUGGGAGUGUCCACCUUGCUGAUUGGACCUUUAAAGCAAGUGGGUGUGGCUAUAAAAUGAGCCCUCUCUAUUGAGUGUGUGUCUAUUGCGGUGUCCAUAUUAAGUGUGAUUUUUCAAAGAUAUGACAUGAACAAAAAUAAAAUAAAAUGCAUUGCUGCAAAAAUCGGUCAGCCUCUGAUCUGUAUAAAACACGAAACAUUGAAAAUCAUAUUUCUGACUUGGGCAGAAAUGGGACAUUUUGAGUUCUAGAAGGCAGCCAUUUAGAAAGAUUGUUCAUGAGCUGCAGCAGAAACAAGCAUUUCCCAUGGACAGUUACAGGCAAACCACCUUCCAUUGUAAGUACACAAUGACAGUGUGCAAGAAGAACACAUAAGCCUAUCACAUGACACCCACUUCAAACUCUCAGUACAACUAGAUGAAAGGGAAAAAAGCAAUUAUCUGCCUCACCAGCCCUCCUAGAUAAGAAGCCUGUAAUCACUGAAUGUGAUCCCCUGAUUCUCAUUGAUAUUUCAGUGUUCGGCAACAGGAUUAAACACUGUUCUGAAAAGCGAUACAAUGGCUGUCUCUUGUGCCAUCCCAUGAAAGUUCUUUUUCUGUGUUUUAUAGACUUUUAAUCCUUCUCUGACUGGAGUAUUUACCACAUAAACCCUCAAAGCAAAAAUGCUGAUUGCAUGCUGCCUAGCUCUUCCAGAACCUGUUUUUGGAAUGCUGUGGUUCAUUCAGUUUUGAAAUUAGUUGUGGUCCAUAAACCUAUGAAUAUACAAUAAAAUUGAGUCACACGUCAAUAAUGUGUUAGUGUAAUAAGCAACGUUCAGAAAAUAGUGGGUUGAGGAUUUAUGCAGAUGCAAUCUCUUAAAUUAUUUUGUGCUGAAAAGGGUUUAAACUUGGAUUGAAGGCAGACAACUCAGGAAUAUGCGCAGGACUAUUGGUGUCAAUGCCUACCAAGGGUCAAUCUCUGACUUGAGUGAACCAAUAAAAAAUAUUUGAUUUCUACAGCAAUGUGUAUGAUUGGUUCAAAUUCACUUCAGCAUGUUUUUGUGAAUUCCAGGAUAGUUUGCAAAUACCAAUGCUUGGUGUCCCCAAAGAAAAAAAUGCCUCCCAGGUGUCACCCUUCAGUGAGGCACCCCACAAUCCAUAAUCAAAGCCUGGAUGUAUUAAUAAUGUAGUUUCCCCUGUAUGACAGGACAUUUCAAUGACUGGAUGGGUCUGGAUGGGCCCACAAUUAUGACUGACACAUCUAAAUCUAAAUAAAAAUUAAAAGAUAAAAACCCAAAAGUAUGAUGCCCAUUGUUCAUUUUCCAAGGAGACGUUUGUUGUUUCUGUGUUGCACUUGUGAUGCCUCCAUCCUGCCGAAUUGUCUCUGUGUUUUGUCUGCGAGGAAGGUCAAACUCUGAGUACACCUUGUGACUGUUCCUGGAUCAGCUGUUUCUGAGUGCUAAUGAAGAGAACAGCCUUGGCGCUGGUGACGCUACAGAUAAUGAGAGGGGGGUGUUGUGGGGGGGCAGGGAUGUUCUCGGAGAGCACGCUAAGCCGCACGGAUAUCAUCGCAGAUGCAAGACCUUGCAGUGCCUGGGCACUCGGCCAUCAUCAAGGCCUUCACCCUGUGAAGGGGCCAGCUGGUUAUAAUGGAGUCUACAAAGGAGAGAGGUACUGGUCUUCUCUGUACUCUUAACAUUAAUAAAGCAUUUGAAUCAUGCCCUGAGAGACAUAAGGGGGCUCCUAUAUAUCCCUUGAGAGCUGGCCACACUGUGGACUGUCACACAACUUUUCCUGUUAAAAGAAAGGUACAUGAGCUUCUUGGCUCCAUUUGACAUUUGCGACAUUUGUCAGAUUACGAAGGAACAAGCCAUUACAUUCAGUUACUGACCCAGUUCACUUGUGGUAUGCAGCCGUCACCUCGGACUGAACCACCCCAUGACUCCCGACCUGUGCUCAGGGGAGCAAUUUCACAGGGCACCCCAACAGGCCUUAAAACGGACCAAAAGUGAAACUAUUCAAAAGUUUUUGAAUGUCGAUGCUUGUAAGCAUGAUGUGUAUUAUAUUGUACUGUGUAAUCAAAUGAGUGUUAAUUGUGGGUGUUUAUUAUCUUUAUUGUUGAUCCUACAUCAUGCCCCUGGAUAGCAAGUGAUAGGGCUCUCAAAUCUCCUCCACCCCUCGUCUGUAGUUUACACCCCUGUCUGGGCUGGCGACUGAAGACUUCUUCAGGAAGAUAAAGCCAAAAUUAAUCACAAAUUUGCUUCCAGAGAGCAAGCUUUACACUUUGUGAAGCACUUUGUGACCCUUGUCCUUGAAAAGUUCUAUAUAAAUAAAGUUUACUUACUUACUUUUUCCCAAAGACAUUUCAUUAAGAAUGAGCACAUUUGUGUUUGUAGCAUUCCAUACUUCGAAAAGAUAUCUGUUGUAUGUUGGCGAAGACGACUAACAACUGCUAAGCUAACAACUGCUAAGCUUCUUUUUCUGUUACAGGCAAGAAAAUCAUCUCUCCUUGGAGGAGACUCAAAACAUAGACAUGUGUGAGCCACUGGACCUCACUGUGGCCCAGCAGAACAUUGUGUUCCAUGCCAAUUCUGUGCCACAGUUGAGAGAGGAGAGCGGCUUGGUUUAAGAGCCUUGAUGUAAACUGAUCUAUGUUACUAUUUUCCAUGCAUUGCUUCAUUUGUAGCACAAGCACAUCACAGCUAGCUGCUCUCCUUGCAUUAAAAACUGCAGUAAGGAGGCAGCUUUAAACCAUGCGCAAUCCCAAUGACACACAUGGCUCUUCUGGUGCAAAAUUCCCACUACCGAUUGCCAGAGCAUUUCUUUUCUCCAUUUUAGUUGCACUGCAUGUUUCUGGACGUUUUUCAUCUGUGGGGAGCGGCUGUGAGAAUAAAAGACUUCAGUAAAUAAAUCACAAAAAAUAUAUUUUUGAGAAAAACACCACCCCUUCAAAUUUAAAUUGAUUGUAAUACAUUUAGGCUGGAAAAUUCUCUCUCGCAGUUCGUAUUGAGCUGUCCCACCCUUUUCAGCCAUUCAUCAGUGUCUCUGCUCAGCGGCCAUGCCUUGACCCCGUGCUGAUACGUGUCAUCAAGUCUGCCACUGUUAGGCCAGGCAGAGGUUAUGCAAUCACCCUGCAUGUUUCUGUUUGCUGGUCUAACUGUGAACAGAAUAUCACAGGGUGGCAUGAACACAGUUAAAUGAUACUUAUUCAACGGUUGAAUGAAACUAUCAAGCUAAUAGGGACACGCUUGAUGACUGAACAUUGCAUAGGAGAUACGCACUCGCCCAAAUAUCACUUUCAUCACCAGCAAAACUGACAUGUUCACGAAGAGCGGUUUCCCAGACCGCAAUUCUAGCCAUAUGGUUGAUGGCAGCGGUUAACAUUUUCCCACCAGUGAUGUAUUUCUUAGCCUAGUCAGUUCAAAAGGUCCAUCUCUCUGACCUUCUUCAAGUACUUCUCCAAAUCAGAGCAUUUUGUUUAAUGCUGGAUAUAUUGAAAAGAUAGCUGAAUGUUUGCUGCACUUGUUACUUGUUCUAAGAGUGUUAAUUAUCCUUUUCUGGCAUCACUACUGCUUUAAUAAGCCUAUGCACAUAUGUCCUUAAUAUCAUAAGUGACUCUUGUAAGAUAAGGACAAAUUGAUGCAAUAAAAUGCAGUAUUCUAUAGGAAAUGAGGUAUUUGCAUGGAUGUUGAAACUGAAAUGAGCUGUCUGCAGCCUUUGACAAAUGACCUUAAACUCCCUUUGUGUUCAUUAUGUUUGGUGAGAGUUAUUUUCAAAUUCCAUGCUCUCGGCAGACAACAUAGUCUGACACACAACACACUGCAGUCUUCAUUUCCUGUGAACUUCAGCCAUCAUAAAUCCACAGUCACUGAAUAUCACAAGUCAUGUGUCAUGUGUUUUCUUUUAUUUUUCUUUCAUUAAUACUUAUUAUGUUCAUGGUUUUAGGGCUCAAGAACUCAAAUAUGCAACUUUUUAUGCUUUAGUACAUUUAUAAGCUCAAGGGGACUUUGUUUGGCUGCCUUAGGCACUAACUUAGGCACCAAAUGUCACAGGCCAAUGGUAACAUAGCCAAUUUAGGAGGGGCAGAUUUUGUAACUUGCUCAAGAAACAUGUAGACCGUAUGUUUGCUAACAAGAUGUAACGACAUGUCGUUGGAAAUAUGCUCCAUUUUCGUGGUACAGCGUAAUGAAGCAUUCCUUUAGUGGAGCAGGUAGAUACUCCACUCACAACACAACCCAACAUUUUGCCCAAAUGUGGAAACCAAUUGUUUUUUUUUUUCUUCCACAACCAAUGAAGGAGAGACUUGAUAAAAGGGCAGCAAUGUGCAAUGUUACAGGAAACUGCAGAGUCAUCAAGGUCACCGAGGAGAGAGAGCGGUGGGCCUGGUCAGGCAGGGGCAUGUUUCUGUUUUGUCAGGAAGGCUUCAAGGCUAAAGAAAGGUUCACUGAUGGAAGAACUGAUGCAUCCAGAUUAUUUCCAUUUCCUCUGUAUCCUUCUGUGAAUAAGCCUAUGUGUUCCUUCAAAAAAAUGUGAAACGCACCUCCCAAAAUGUCCACCAAGAUGUACAGCGUGGUCCCUAAGGCUGCCGGCUCUCAGCCGUACGCGAUUCCCCCGCCGGGUUUCAUCCCUGCAAUGGCACUUUCCAUUUGUGGCCCCUUUUCUGUGUUACUUCCUCUGUUAUAUCUGUCUGCAAUAAAGCAAAAAAAAAACAUGGGAGGGAGGGCUGUUCAAUCGAGAAAGUGAUGCCAAUCUUUUGUGAAAACGACCAUGACCAGAUCCUAAAAAGUAAUAAACAAGUAAAUAAUAAGAAAAUUACGAGUAUAAAAUUCUCAAACAAAUACAUGUGUAGGUUGAUGCUCUGCUAAAGUUUCUACACUGUUGGAAACAAUCAAGACUCUCAUCGACGUAUAUGUGCACUGUGAACAUUUCAGUAUGCAGAUCUUUUUUUUCUUUCAGAUGAAAGAAAAUGUGUCCAUGUUUGUUCCGCCUUUUGAAACAUAAGAACAAAUGACCGCCCCACCAUACUAGAUAAAACCUGGGCUUGACAGAGAAGACAUGGUGGCUCCACUGACUACUCACUGGCAUGUGUGCCAGAGUCACUCUGUCGACCUCCAAUGACCGUGCAACCUGGUCCCUGCCACUGUUCCGUUUGUCAGCUCCUCAUUGGUUGAGAGCAUACACAAGCUCUCCCGUAGAUGGCUUCCACUUUGUGGCCCCACAAUGAAGUUUCAGGUCCAGUGUGCUGUACCAGGCAGUGCCAUAGCCGGCUACUUUGUGUUUGCCUGCGGUUGUUUACUCAUGGUGGGAAUAUGACAUUGCAGG